AGUAGAGAUGGGGUUUUACCAUGUUGGCCAGGCUGGUCUCAAACUCCUGACCUCAGGUGAUCCACCCACC
ensembl:miRNA